AUGGGGGUGAGAGUAGCCAGUGGCAAGGCUCUCGUGCUACUAGUUUCAGUGUUCAUCAUCUCCGCCGGCGGCGGCAUGGUUAUCUCGCCGGCGGCCGCGGAGGAGGUGCACCUGGUGCCGGCGGUGUACGUGUUCGGCGAUUCAACGGUUGACGUGGGGAACCUCAAGUACCUGCCGGGGAACUUCACGCUGCCGUAUCCUUACGGCAUCGACUUCCCGCUGGCGAACUCCUCCAGACCCAACGGAAGGUUCAGCAACGGGUACAACCUUGCCGACUGCAUCUCGAGGCUGUUGGGUUUCGAUAUGAGCCCGCCGGCGUACCUGUCGCUGACGCCGGAGACGAGCGGUUAG
rnacentral:rRNA from 1 species